CCAGAUCUACCACUGCCUCCUGCCGUUCGUCCUCGCCGCUGCCAGCGCUGCGCCGCCAGCCCCUCAGCCUCCAUCACCAUCUCUCCCUCCAUUGUCCCCUUUCCGGCGAUGAACCAGCAUGCCAACGCCGCUCCAACAUUGCCACGAGACCCCCUGCUCUCCAACCUCCUCCGUGAACCAAUCGUCGCCGCCCCAGGUCAUCUCCGUUGUCCACCCGCCACCAACCUUCUCCGUGCCGUUGAUCCGUUUGUCAAAAAAGAGAUGGGUUUUCAAAAACCCAUCCACAGGUUUGCCUAAAUAUUUAAAUGUUUGUGUUUAAUUUUAAUCUCUUUUCCCCUUCUUUAACAGAUUUCGGACUCUGAAUUAGCAAUGUAUGAAUGAUUUAUUUCAUCCGAUUCUUUGCCAUUUUGUGUGCUUAUGUUUUAAGACUACCAGAUGUGAAAAAUCCAAAUUUUAAUAAUGAUCAAUUUUGUCAUAGUUUGCUAAUUCCGAAUUUUGAAAUUAUCCAUCUUCUUCGAAUUAGUUGACAAAUUUCUCGGCUCGUGAUUAUAACGGAGAACAUUUGACUGCGUAUUAUAUUUUUAUGGUUGGAUUGAUCUUGUGAUAAUUUGAAUAAGAUUUUGGUAAAGAACAUCUGAUUGUGUAUCACGUUUCUUGAAUUACAUCGUGGACUGAUUUUUGUACAAUUGAUGAUUUGAAUUAGGUACAAAAAUAAUUAGGGAUUAUUUUACAAAAUUAAUUGCUCAUAAUUUAUUUAUGGUAAAUUGAACAAAUUUUCUCAUCCCUAAUUGACCCUAAUUGAUUAUCGAUCUCUUAAUUGAUUAGUGAUUG
rnacentral:lncRNA from 1 species